UACGAAGGGGGCGGGCGUUGUUCGGAAUUACUGGGCGUAAAGGGCGCGCAGGCGGCCUUAGAAGUCAGAUGUGAAAGCCCCGGGCUCAACCUGGGAAUGGCAUUUGAUACUCUGAGGCUGGAGUACGGGAGAGGAGAGUGGAAUUCCCAGUGUAGAGGUGAAAUGCGUAGAUAUCGGGAGGAACACCUGCGGCGAAAGCGGCUCACUGGACCACAACUGACGCUGAGGCGCGAAAGCUAGGGGAGCAAACAGG
rnacentral:rRNA from 1 species